GACGAACCGUGCGAACGUUGUUCGGAAUCACUGGGCUUAAAGGGCGCGUAGGCGGCUUCCCAAGUCCGGGGUGAAAUCUUUCGGCUUAACCGGAAAAGUGCCUUGGAUACUGGGCGGCUCGAGGGAGGUAGGGGCAAGCGGAACUUCCGGUGGAGCGGUGAAAUGCGUUGAUAUCGGAAGGAACGCCGGCGGCGAAAGCGGCUUGCUGGACCUCAUCUGACGCUGAUGCGCGAAAGCCAGGGGAGCGAACGGG
rnacentral:rRNA from 1 species